rnacentral:lncRNA from 1 species
GGAACUCAUAAAAACCCUAAUUGAAACGGGAUUUAACUUUAAAAAUAUGAAAAGAUACUACAAAAUAGAGCGUCAAAAAAAUAGGAGAUGUACGCGAAAUUUGAAAAAUUCACGUCCCAAAAUUAUACUCUGCAACCUCAUAGUACUAAUGCAUGCGAUUGCAUAAGCAUAUCACAUUCCUCGAUUGGUUUCUCUGCAUGGUAGCAUCGGUCGCAUGCCUUAUGUAACUAUGCGGUCGCAUAAUUUACUUGCUCAGCUCAUUCAUCCAUUGCUUAAAUCAAGUUGACCCAUCUUAUUUCUUCUUUUAAAAUCAACAUGAUAUAAUAUAACCAGCACUUGAACGCAACAUGCCACAUCAAUAUAAAACAAAUGAAAAUCAAAUGUCUGGCCUAUGUAUACACUGCUCCACGUGCCUGUUUGUAGUCUCAAAGCCACCAAGGGACCUCUUAACAUUGUCUGUAUAUAGGUACCGAAAUUCAAAUACCCUAUCUUCAAAUGAUAAGUUUAUCCAAACACUAUAGUAUGGCACAUCUAUAAUAAGAUCCACACACACAAUUGCCAACCACAAAUUGUCCAUACGUUACGUUACCAUGUCACAUAAUAAUAACAAACAUAUAUAAGAACAUAAUAAAUGACGAUAAAAGCGUGUAUAACCUUUAAAAUGUAACUGUCCAUACGUUACGUUACCAUGUCACAUAAUAAUAACAAACAUAUAUAAGCACAUAGUUUCACAUAUUAACAUGUCUUGUAUUGCAAUUGAUGAACAUCAAUAUUCGCCUUUUUGCAAAUUACUUGAUCAAAAUCUGCAUUAAUAAAAUAAUCUCUAAGUUAAUCACUUCAUAACAUCCUAUCUCUCAAUUAACAAACUUGAACCAGGCUUGCAACAUAAUAUAAUAUGCUAAAUAAAAGACCAGGGUAAUAACACUAACAAUAAUAGUACUAAUAUUAAUAGUAACAAUGAUAAUAAAAAUAUUAAUAGAAUUCUCAUCACUGCUUUAUAAGAAUUGUAACUGACAAAAAAUUAUAAUCAAUUUCGAUUUACACUUGAAAUGCAUACUGCUAUUCCAUUUACUAUUCAACUUAGGGAUGAAAGCAGUUCGAUUUGGAUGGUUUGUGCCAUAUUUUUAACUCAAACCAUUUCAAACGAUUUAGGAUUUUUCCAAUCUAAUCCAAACUAUUUUAUUUUUCAAACUAAACCCAAUCAAACCAUUAUUUGACGCUUGGUUUGAUUUUAAUUUGCACAUAUCGACAUAGUAAUAUAUUUAACAUAUAACUUUAAAUGAGAAUUAAUGAAAAAGGGAAAAACUAAGUAAAAUACAAUAACACGAUAAAUAAGGAAAAAUCUAAUCUGAACAGAUUUCAUCCAUACGGAUUUGGUUUCUUUGAUAUUAAAAUCGAAAACCCAAAUAUUGUACCCUUCAAAGUUCAGAUUACUUCUGGAGCUAUCCAAAAUGGUACUCCUACAAAUAUUUGUGACUUUUAAUUGUAUUUAGUGUGAGGUUUAAUAAUUCCUUGGAGCAUAAUAAAUAGUAAAUAACCAGAAACAAUAAAAUCAAUGCACUUUAGCCACGUUGAAAUAGAAAAAGAAAUACUUAGGUCUAUUAACUAAAUUGGAAAAAUAACUAUGUAAAUAUAAAACAGCAAGCAGAUGAAGACAAGUAAAAACACAAUUGGGAAGAGGCUGCUGUCUUCAUUAAGACGAAUGUCAUAGCACUAAAACUAUGCAAAUAAAUAAAUAAAUAAAUAAAUAAAAAUAAAAAUGGAGAGAGAGAGAGAAAGAGAGAGAGAGAGAGAGAGAAUAAAUUUUAACACAUUUCCAAAUUGGUAUGGCUCAAUUAAUGAAAUUAGGAACACUAGGAUACAAUUGUUAAGCCUAACAAAGAAAAGUUAGUAUGUACUGUAAUUAUCACCUUUUUUCCUGCAAAGUUAAAACUGUAAAAUAUAUAAUUUAACAAAAUUGAUUUUUUAAUUAAAAAUUUUUAUAAAGCGAUUCGAUUCGAUUUUGUGCCAUGUUUAAAAAUCAAAACCUAUUUUGAAACGGUUUGUUUCAAUUUGGAUAAAAAAUGUUUCGAGUCCACUUAAACUCGAACCAACGUUUUCAAACCAAUGGUUUCGAUUCGAUUUACUGUUCCACGAGUGUAGCCCUAAUUCAACCAACUCGACUCUACAAUAUUUUAUCAAUUAAUUUUAUUCGUGAUACUUACCUUAACUAAAUAAGACAAGAAUCCAUUUUCAUUUGUCAUUUGUCCAACUUACUAACAAAAACCAAAAGUUUGACAAACUUUCAUUUUUUUGCAGUCUAAUUAGCUGAGAAUUUACGUAAUUCAAUUUUAAAACAGUGGUAAAGAUAUCGUGUUUGAGUGUUUUACAUCUUUCACAUUUAAAUCUAGGCUUCUAUAGCCAGUAUGGAACCAAGUUGAGCUUAGAUAACCAUUAAAACAAAACACAUUUUUUUCAAACUCAUUUUUUAAUACACAUUCUCACAAUAAAAUACUUUGCACGUAAAUCCAAAUAUUUUUCCAGUUUGUGACCACGUAUA